UCCUCCCAAAACCUCUUAUCUCUUUCUUUCUGCUCUCUUCUCUCUUCUCUUCUGUUCCAUUCUCAUCUCAGUUCCAAAGUCAAUGGCAGCAACAUUAGAGUCAGCACUCUCCAUAUUCGCAUCUCACUCUCACCGUUUCUCCAACAACAACACUCAUCUCUCUCCAAACCUCUCUUCUCUCUCCUUCUCUUUCAAUGCCUCCACACCAAGAUCAUUCUCCUUCCUCUGCUCCACAUUGCAAGAAGCACAACCACACACACCUACAACUCAGGAACAACCCAAAAACGUGAAGAAGAAGCUCUAUGUCUUCAACUUACCUUGGUCUAUGUCCGUUGCUGACAUCAAAGACCUGUUUAGCCAAUGCGGAACUGUAACAGACGUCGAGAUCAUAAAGAACAAACAAGGCAAGAGCAGGGGUUUUGCCUUCGUUACUAUGGCUUCAGGGGAAGAGGCUCUUGCUGUCGUUCACAAGUUCAAUUCUCAUCAAAUAUCAGGAAGGGAAAUAAGGAUAGAGCUUGCCAAGAGAUUCAAGAAGCCGCCGCCUCCUCCUCCACCGUCUCCGAGUCCCCCUGCCGGCGAGACACGUCACGUGGUAUAUGUAGCCAACCUUGCAUGGAAAGUAAGAUCACCCGUUCUCAGACAAUUCUUCACUGAUAAUUUCAAAACCCCAGUUUCGUCCAGGGUUGUCUUUGAGAGCCCUGCCGGAAGAUCUGCAGGGUAUGGAUUUGUUUCUUUCCUCACAAAAGAGGAUGCAGAGGCUGCAAUUUCUGCUUUGGAUGGGAAGUACUGAGACAGAGACUGAGAAACUGAGAUACAGUAUCAUGUUUAUUGACUCAGAGAUUGGAAUUAAUGGAGCGACCACUUCGUCUUAAGUUGAGUGAAAAGAAAGUCAAAGCAGCUCCAACUGAAAGGGAUGAAGACCAAGCUCCUGAAUUGGUGGAUCAAGAGAAGCUCAAAGAAGCUGAAACUGAAAAGGAGGAAAUCCAUGAUUCUGAUGCUCAGCUGGAAAAAUCAUAAAUCCUAACCCUUUUUCUUAUAAUUGAUUCUUGGAGCUGGAUUACCUCAUUUAUACACAACUUUGAUGGAUAACUCCUUUUUCACUCAUGUUCACUUUUUCUAAUACCCUUAAAAAUGUGGUUGAAAAGCUUUUAAGAAAUCAAUUUUCGACAUAAAUCUUCAUAUAUAGUUUCUUUAUUUCUAAGCAAGUUUUCCACUCACAUUUUUAAGGGUGUAACUCAAUAAUCUUGCGAAUUAAUGAAGUUGCAAACAAUGUACAUUUGAGUUUGAAACUAAUAAGUUCAACCAUAAAUCAUUAUACGAUAAGA